rnacentral:ncRNA from 1 species
GGUUAAGCUAGAAAGGGCGCACGGUGGAUGCCUUGGCACUAGGAGCCGAUGAAGGACGGGGCAAACGCCGAAACGCUCCGGGGAGCUGUAAGCAAGCGUCGAUCCGGAGAUGUCCGAAUGGGGGAACCCCCUGUCCGUAAUGGGGCAGGAUCCAUGCCUGAAUCCAUAGGGCAUGGAGGGCACACCCGGGGAACUGAAACAUCUUAGUACCCGGAGGAGAAGAAAGCAAACGCGAUUCCCUGAGUAGCGGCGAGCGAAACGGGAACAGCCCAAACCAAGAGGCGAGUCCUCUUGGGGUUGUAGGACCGCUCACUGUGGGAGUGAGAAAGGAACGGGGUAGACGAACCGGUCUGGAACGGCCGG